rnacentral:lncRNA from 1 species
CCCGGGAGCCUUUUGGGGAUCAUUUUUUGCUCCCGGGCGCCCCGCAGGCCGGGCAACAUCUGCGUGGGAGGGUGAAAGACCCAAGCUAGCAGCACGGAGGAGAAGAGGGGGGAGCCAGGCAUUCAUCCCGGUCAAUUUUGGUUUCAGGUCGUGGCGGGGGGGGGGGAGGGGGGGGUGNNNNNNNNNNNNNNNNNAGAGGGGCUCGCCCCGGGGCAGGGGCAACGGAGGCGUAGCUGGCAGCCACGGGCAGGUGAAGACAGCGCUCUGCCGGCCAGCCACGUCUCCAGUGGGGUGGUGGUGCCUGCCAGCCACGGAGGCCCGGCGGCCAGGACGCGCACAGAGGGAUAUGAUAUGGUCCGGUGUGAUGGAGAGAGCAGGCGGGACCGUCCGGCCUCUCAGAGCGCUGGCCCCGCGGGGAGCCGGGAUAUCGCCGUUCCUUUAGCCUCCUGACGGAGCAGACGCUACUGCUGCUCUUCAGACACCCAGAACCCUCAAGAUGACAAGGUGGGAGGGCCCCGCCACACGCAGGGCGGC